CAUAAAUUGAUGUACAUAACCUUUUGUUGGUGUAAAUUAUGUCUCAUAAUUACACUUUACUUAAGUUGACUUAGGGAAAUGCAUUUCAUAGUAGUUUGGAUAUGAGACAUUUAGGGAAGUGUGCACAUUGGGAUGAUGUAUGCAGGAGAAAUUUCACCUUUUGUGGUCUUAUCUUGUUACAUUCCACCUUCGGUGGGUGAUUUGUAGGAUAUUAGAGUUGUUGGAAUGUGUUGUUGUCAUUGAUGUCAACAUAUUCCUGUGUUUCUUGUGUUUUGGUGUUGUAGAGUGUUGGUUUGGUUGCAUAUAUGUUGAUGCAGAAUAAUGAGUUAGAUACUUAUCUCUAAUUGAUUCAGUAUGAGUUUCAGUGUUCCAGAAGGUGUUUUGAUCGAGUUAUGUGAUCUGGUGUGAUGAUUGGUUCUUCUGUUGGUUUUGUAUUGCAGAGUUGUGAUUUCUGGUUUGUAUGGCUCCUGAAUUGAUUCUUUAUAUUGUGCGGAUUUUGGAGAGUGUUUGGGAUGUUUAUGUGUGUUCUCAAUUCAGGUGGUUCAUGAUUUGGAACUUCACAAGCGUAUCUUUCAAUUGUUGUUGGUGUUCUUGAGCUUAGGUGAUGAAAUGAUGAUUCUAGUUAUCCGAGUUGUUGCGGUCGUUGCGGAGGAAUUCACGUUGCUUGUUGGUGUUUCUAGAUUGUGUGCUAUGUGUUUUGGUGGUUUGCAUUGAUCGUGAUGAUUUUGAUGAGGUAUUCGAUGGUGUUGCAUGUUCGAGGAUUUGAUUUGGGUCCAUGCCAUGUCCUUGCCGACAUUGUAUUGGUCCGCAUAUUGAUUUAUAUAUAUCGUGUGAUGUAAUUUUGUAA